rnacentral:rRNA from 1 species
GAUGAACGCUGGCGGCGUGCUUAACACACGCAAGUCGAACGGUGAAAGCGGAGCUUGCUCUGCUGGAUCAGUGGCGAACGGGUGAGUAACACGUGAGCAAUCUGCCCCUGACUCUGGGAUAAGCGCUGGAAACGGCGUCUAAUACCGGAUACGAGCUGCGAAGGCAUCUUCAGCAGCUGGAAAGAACUUCGGUCAGGGAUGAGCUCGCGGCCUAUCAGCUAGUUGGUGAGGUAACGGCUCACCAAGGCGUCGACGGGUAGCCGGCCUGAGAGGGUGACCGGCCACACUGGGACUGAGACACGGCCCAGACUCCUACGGGAGGCAGCAGUGGGGAAUAUUGCACAAUGGGCGCAAGCCUGAUGCAGCAACGCCGCGUGAGGGAUGACGGCCUUCGGGUUGUAAACCUCUUUUAGCGGGGAAGAAGCGAAAGUGACGGUACCUGCAGAAAAAGCACCGGCUAACUACGUGCCAGCCGCCGCCGUAA